ensembl:miRNA gmo-mir-103-2 gmo-mir-103-2
AGCCUCUUUACAGUGCUGCCUUGUCGAGUUGUUCAAGCAGCAUUGUACAGGGCUAUGA